rnacentral:tRNA from 1 species
GAGUAAUUAGUUAAAUUUAUAAUAUUAAUCUGUCAGGUUAGAGUUAUUAAUAAAUAUUAUUUU